rnacentral:rRNA from 1 species
CACGUAGGGCGCAAGCGUUGUCCGGAAUUAUUGGGCGUAAAGAGCUCGUAGGCGGUCUGUUACGUCUGCUGUGAAAACCCUGGGCUUAACCCUGGGCUUGCAGUGGAUACGGGCAGACUAGAGGCAGGUAGGGGAGAAUGGAAUUCCCGGAGUAGCGGUGAAAUGCGCAGAUAUCAGGAGGAACACCGGUGGCGAAGGCGGGUCUCUGGGCCGAUAUUGACGCUGAGGAGCGAAAGCGUGGGGAGCAAACAGG